rnacentral:other from 1 species
UUAGGACUGCCCUGUACGUGACCUUUAGGAUCGGUUGAGCCGUGACUUAAAAAAAGGGACAGAUCUCUGUCGCCGGUGUGCAUGCCUGCUCUGCAGGAAGCCUAAUGGCGUUAUAUUUCUCCCACCUGAGCAAUCAGGUUCAUACACCUCCUAAUUCACGGCAGGGCGGUUUUAC